rnacentral:tRNA from 1 species
GCCCCGGUGGUGAAAUGGUAGACGCGCUGGACUCAAAAUCCAGUGUCCGCGAGGACAUGUCAGUUCGAGUCUGACCCGGGGCACCA